CAUGAUGACACGAUAUGGCGGCCGCAGCAGCAGAGUUUGGUACUGCUAAUAAUAAUAGCAACAACAGUAUAAUGUACAUCCAUCAGCUUAUUGUUGCCGUUGCCACCACUCAACAAAAGCUACAACAGAUACAACUACUACGACUACUACUAGCAAUAUACCUCUUUUUUUGUCUUAUCACAGAGCAGCACACAGAAGAGCACAUACACGUCUGUAUACAUCUGUGUACAGAGACGCGGCGUGUCGUGCACACAUGUACUAUUAGUACACAUCUCCUAAACGUUCAUCUUCAACGGCGCACUGCCCAAAAAGAUACGCCGCUUGACAUGCUUAUAAUUAUAAGGUUGGGAGGAAAGUCGUGGGGGUGGGGAGACGGUGGAGGUAUAGUAGCGAGACGGUGGAGGACGUGGUGGAGAGACACAGAUACGCCGAUACGGAGAGGACGGAGAGGGUUUGGUGAUAUUAUUUCUGGGAAUGGACACAGAGCGACACACACAGAGUGACCGACAGCAGGGCAGCAGGAGGGGGACGGACUCUGACACAGAGAGAUUGUUCGUGAUGUAAUUAUUCAUCGUCAUCAUCAUCAUCGUCAUCGUCAUCGUCAUCAUCCUCCUCCAUCUGCAGGAGAUGUUCCACUGAUGCUAUUAUUAUAUCUAUAUGUCUAAUACAGCAGCAGCUUUAGCAAAAGAGCGUCCUUGACGUAAUAAUUAAUAAGGACACGCCUUUGCAGAAAGUAUAAGGACACGCCUGACAAGAUACGUGCUCUGCUGUGAUACGUGCUGAAAAAAAAUAGGAGUUAGUUCCAGAAGUGCUUAUAAAUUAUAUGUAUGUACUUCUUUGUCGUCCAACAACUACUGGUGGGCGCAAUCUAUAAUAAUGAUGAUGAUGCUAAAUGAUGAUGAUGCUAAAUAUCACGCAGAGAAGAACAGAGAAUAGAGCACAACAACCACCAAUACAACAACCCCGCGAAUCGCGCUUUGUCGUAUAUUAGUAAUAAAGUGCGCCGCCCCUACUUCUCACCGCUCGCCGACGACAAACAGACAAUUGAAAUGAGACCGUCACAGCGAGAGCUAUCAGGACGUUUUUAAAAUUUUAUUUAUGGAGCAGGCGCCAAGUAGAAAACAAGCCGCGAAGAAGCAGAAGACGACAUGUGUCUAAUGCGCGCGAACCACGGAACAAGACAAACACCAAUCAAUACACCGCAACAAAAGCACAAAGAUACAGCUUUAGCGUCCUCGAAAGGACACGCCGGCAGUAAGGGCGAUUUACAAGAAAGUUGGGAAUAUAGACUACGCUGCCCGAUNNNNNNNNNNNNNNNNNNNNNNNNNNNNNNNNNNNNNNNNNNNNNNNNNNACGCACACACACACACACGCACACGCACACGCACAUGCACAUGCACACGCACACGCACACGCACACGCACACGCACACGCACACGCACACGCACACGCACACGCACACGCACACGCACACGCAGCAUGACAGCUAUACUACGUAUCCGCAGCUGCAGCAGUGUGGGGUAUAGUCCUGUUCAGCUCCCUGCAGCAGAAAAAUAAUGAAGCCCUACCUAAUAAUAAGCAAAACACCCCUCCAUGAUGACACGAUAUGGCGGCCGCAGCAGCAGAGUUUGGUACUGCUAAUAAUAAUAGCAACAACAGUAAUGUACAUCCAUCAGCUUAUUGUUGCCGUUGCCACCACUCAACAAAAGCUACAACAGAUACAACUACUACGACUACUACUAGCAAUAUACCUCUUUUUUUGUCUUAUCACAGAGCAGCACACAGAAGAGCACAUACACGUCUGUAUACAUCUGUGUACAGAGACGCGGCGUGUCGUGCACACAUGUACUAUUAGUACACAUCUCCUAAACGUUCAUCUUCAACGGCGCACUGCCCAAAAAGAUACGCCGCUUGACAUGCUUAUAAUUAUAAGGUUGGGAGGAAAGUCGUGGGGGUGGGGAGACGGUGGAGGUAUAGUAGCGAGACGGUGGAGGACGUGGUGGAGAGACACAGAUACGCCGAUACGGAGAGGACGGAGAGGGUUUGGUGAUAUUUCUGGGAAUGGACACAGAGCGACACAGAGUGACCGACAGCAGGGCAGCAGGAGGGGGACGGACUCUGACACAGAGAGAUUGUUCGUGAUGUAAUUAUUCAUCGUCAUCAUCAUCAUCGUCAUCGUCAUCGUCAUCAUCCUCCUCCAUCUGCAGGAGAUGUUCCACUGAUGCUAUUAUUAUAUCUAUAUGUCUAAUACAGCAGCAGCUUUAGCAAAAGAGCGUCCUUGACGUAAUUAAUAAGGACACGCCUUUGCAGAAAGUAUAAGGACACGCCUGACAAGAUAUACGUGCUCUGCUGUGAUACGUGCUGAAAAAUAGGAGUUAGUUCCAGAAGUGCUAAAUUAUAUGUAUGUACUUCUUUGUCGUCCAACAACUACUGGUGGGCGCAAUCUAUAAUAAUGAUGAUGAUGCUAAAUGAUGAUGAUGCUAAAUAUCACGCAGAGAAGAACAGAGAAUAGAGCACAACAACCACCAAUACAACAACCCCGCGAAUCGCGCUUUGUCGUAUAUUAGUAAUAAAGUGCGCCGCCCCUACUUCUCACCGCUCGCCGACGACAAACAGACAAUUGAAAUGAGACCGUCACAGCGAGAGCUAUCAGGACGUUUUUAAAAUUUUAUUUAUGGAGCAGGCGCCAAGUAGAAAACAAGCCGCGAAGAAGCAGAAGACGACAUGUGUCUAAUGCGCGCGAGCCACGGAACAAGACAAAUACCAAUCAAUAGACCGCAACAAAAGCACAAAGAAACAGCUUUAGCGUCCUUGAAAGGACACGUCUGCAGUAAGGGCGAUUCACAAGAAGGUUGUAGAAUAUAGCCUAACGCUGCCUGGUCCGAGGCAUCGGCUACUCCGCCCGGAGUGGUGAGUGAGUCUGUGCUAAGACAAAGAGUAAAAUUGCAGUACGAAUGCGCAAUUGGUGAUCGCGGGUUCAAGCCACGGCUGAUGCAACUGCGGUUGCGAUUUGGUGGGUUCUUCGCUGACGUGGUAUAUUAUUAACCGACUUGUCCAGCACAGCAGCAUGAGACGAUUUAUUAAGCUUUCUUCAACUUUUGUUUUAUAAAUAAUAACAAUCAUUGUUGAAUUGUUGAAACAAGAAAAUGUGUUUUUUCUUAAUGUAUACAACCUAACGUUCUUUUCUGCAUGCUGCAGGACAGGAAGAAGCAGGAACAGCAAAACGUACGUGAGGAGGCGGCACGUGCUAUUAUUAUUAUAGAGUGCUGGCGGGAGGGGGAAGAGGAGGAAGAGGAGGAGGAGGAGGAGGAGGAGGAGGAGGAGGAGGAGGAGGAGGAGGAGGAGGAGGAGGAGGAGGAGGAGGAGGAGGAGGAGGAGGAGCAUCAGGCUGAGACGUGGAGAGCAGCAGCACUGCUGUGGAGGAGGAGCAGGAGCAGGAGCAGGAGAUAAUGCUGGAUAAAGAUCGAGGCGGAGGAGCAGGAGCAGGAGUAGGAGCAGGAGCAGAAAGAAGACUAGCAGCAGCAAGCCCCUCCAAANNNNNNNNNNNNNNNNNNNNNNNNNNNNNNNNNNNNNNNNNNNNNNNNNNGUUCAGCUCCCUGCAGCAGAAAAAUAAUGAAGCCCUACCUAAUAAUAAGCAAAACACCCCUCCAUGAUGACACGAUAUGGCGGCCGCAGCAGCAGAGUUUGGUACUGCUAAUAAUAAUAGCAACAACAGUAAAUGUACAUCCAUCAGCUUAUUGUUGCCGUUGCCACCACUCAACAAAAGCUACAACAGAUACAACUACUACGACUACUACUAGCAAUAUACCUCUUUUUUUGUCUUAUCACAGAGCAGCACACAGAAGAGCACAUACACGUCUGUAUACAUCUGUGUACAGAGACGCGGCGUGUCGUGCACACAUGUACU
rnacentral:lncRNA from 1 species